rnacentral:rRNA from 1 species
UCUGGCGGCAGUAGCGCGGUGGUCCCUCCUGACCCCAUGCCGAACUCAGAAGUGAAACGCCGUAGCGCCGAUGGUAGUGUGGGGUCUCCCCAUGCGAGAGUAGGGAACUGCCAGAC